rnacentral:rRNA from 1 species
CUCCCCCGUUGCCGAGCUAAGAUUCGAUGACGCCAAGAAAGACGCAACCUCGUCCUAGCCCAACUUCGGUGAAGCGACGGGCGGUGUGUGCAAGGAG